rnacentral:piRNA from 1 species
UCCACAAUCUGUAGCCUUUUU